rnacentral:rRNA from 1 species
UCCGUAGGUCCCGAACGUUGCGCGAAUUUACUGGGCGUAAAGGGUCCGUAGGCGGUUUAGCAAGUGGUUGGUGAAAUUUCACGGCUCAACCGUGAAACUGCCUUCCAAACUGCUAAACUUGAGGCAGGGAGAGGUCGGCGGAAUUCCCGGUGUAGCGGUGAAAUGCGUAGAGAUCGGGUGGAACACCAGUGGCGAAGGCGGCCGGCUGGAACUGUUCUGACGAUGAGGGACGAAAGCUAGGGGAGCAAACCGG